GGUCAACCAGGAAUCCAUCUGGAUUGGAGCAACAGACAAGAUAAGCAACUCAGCUGGUCUGUACACUUGGCCAGAUGGCUCUUCAUUAAGCAUGACAAAUUGGGCCCCAGGACAGCCAGACAACCAGUUUUUCAGCCUGGGAGGGAACUGUGUCGGAAUCCUAGACACAUCAAACAAUGGCGAGUGGAGUACGGCACCGUGCACAUCACAGAGGAAAUUCAUCUGUGAGAA